CUUUCAUAAGAAUCCUUCCUGCACCUCACUGCCAGCCCCUCAGAUUCUGACCAGAGAGCAGCUUCAAAAUCUGGCAAAAUCUGCAUCCCUGCAAAGAUGUGAAUUCUUUCCAGGUUUUUCAAGACUCUCAUUUUUCUACACAUCUCAGAAAAUCUGUAUUAAAUGAGGUUUGCCAGUCCUGCAGUUGCAAGAGGACAAGGUGGGCAGAGA
rnacentral:lncRNA from 1 species